rnacentral:rRNA from 1 species
UACAGAGGGUGCAAGCGUUGUCCGGAAUUACUGGGCGUAAAGGGCGCGUAGGCGGCCCGAUAAGUAGGAGGUGAAAUCUUACGGCUUAACCGUGAGACUGCCUUCUAGACUGUCAGGCUUGAGCACGGUAGAGGCAGAUGGAAUUCCCGGUGUAGCGGUGGAAUGCGUAGAGAUCGGGAAGAACACCAGUGGCGAAGGCGGUCUGCUGGGCCGUUGCUGACGCUGAGGCGCGACAGCGUGGGGAGCAAACAGG